AAGGAGUCUAACAUAUCUGCGAGUACUUGGGUGUCAAACCCGAGUGCGCAAUGAAAGUGAACCUAUGAUCUACGCGCAAUCUGCACUUACGACCGAUCUGGAUCUUUAGUGAUGGAUUUGAGUAAGAGCAUAUAUGUUAGGACCCGAAAGAUGGUGAACUAUGCCUGAAUAAGGCGAAGCCAGGGGAAACUCUGGUGGAGGCUCGUAGCGAUUCUGACGUGCAAAUCGUUCGUCAUAUUUGGGUAUAGGGGCGAAAGACUAAUCGAACCAUCUAGUAGCUGGUUCCUGC
rnacentral:misc_RNA from 1 species